UACAGAGGGUGCGAGCGUUGUCCGGAAUCACUGGGCGUAAAGGGCGCGUAGGUGGCGACCCAAGUCGAUGGUGAAAGCUCGCCGCUCAACGGCGAGUCGGCCACCGAUACUGGGUUGCUCGAGCACUGUAGAGGCUCAUGGAAUUCCGGGUGUAGCGGUGGAAUGCGUAGAGAUCCGGAAGAACACCGGUGGCGAAGGCGGUGAGCUGGGCAGUUGCUGACACUGAGGCGCGACAGCGUGGGGAGCAAACAGG
rnacentral:rRNA from 2 species